UACGGGGGGGGCAAGCGUUGUUCGGAAUUACUGGGCGUAAAGGGCUCGUAGGCGGCCAACUAAGUCAGACGUGAAAUCCCUCGGCUUAACCGGGGAACUGCGUCUGAUACUGGAUGGCUUGAGUUUGGGAGAGGGAUGCGGAAUUCCAGGUGUAGCGGUGAAAUGCGUAGAUAUCAGGAGGAAUACCGAUGGCGAAGGCAGGUCUCUGGGCUGACACUGACGCUCGUGCACGAAAGCGUGGGGAGCAAACAGG
rnacentral:rRNA from 1 species